rnacentral:lncRNA from 12 species
GCCCUCGGGAUUUGCUUUGUCCACAGAGGAGGCGUAACAGGAGCUGACUAUUGAAAAGAUAGUUUGGCCCAUGAAAUUGAGUAACUAGCCAUGAGUUUUGGUUUUGCUUCCUCCAUCAGGUCCUCUUUGUUCAAACAAUCCUGGGAGAAUCCUGGGUGUCUGUACCACCUAAGCACAUCGCCUUGCCCUCCAGCUUUUGCAGGCCCCUCCACUGCAGCAUCCCUUUCCCACUGCAGGAACAGAAGUGGAAACUUGGAGAGAAAUCGGUGGGCUGCUAGUAAUGACAUGGAGGCAAGAGCUGAUGAAAGCUUUGAGGUCUUCUCCUCAGGAAGAAGCUGCAUGUCCUUUUGAGGUGGUACCAGAAUCUGCAGCUUUGUGGCACAGUAUUAUAGUAAUGCUCCUGUCACUGCUAGAGGUUUGGCCAUAGCACCAGAUAAUGUGUGAGAGCGCAAGCCUGCUGCCCUCCCUUUGGCAGACUGUGGGUCCUCUUUUGGGUGUCAAUGAUGCCUAUCCCCCCACCCCCUUCCCACCCAUUCCUUUGCAAAGCAGUUUGUCACCCCUCGGCUGUGCUAAUGAGUAGUGACGCUGCUGGAUCUGCUAAAUGGUCACAGCUAAUAGUGCCCCUCCAUACCUCUUUGUUUUGGAAAGUUAUUCAAGGAUCCAGCUUGCAGAAUGGCAUGAUAAACAUCUUGGCAAAGCUGAGCUGGCAGCAAAAGGAAGUGUCAGGGCAGGAGUAAGCAGUUGGGGGUAAGGAAAUUGCAGGAACGUCUUCAGCUGCUGUACAAUAAAAGACCAGAUGUAAUGAUUUGACACAUUUCCACCCAUCCUAUGUCUUUGUUUUUCCCCAAAGGAUGCUGAGAUUGCACAGACCUCUAACAUCCUCAAAAUCUUUAACGCCAAAAAUUUUUGUGAUUAGCAGGA